GUUUGCAAGUUUAACGGUGUAGAAAUAUCCAAAUCACGUGAAAUUUUGAUAGAAAAUUCUUUAUACUAUAUAAAACAAGAUCAAUAUCUUUGAUUUAAAAUUUUAAUGUCAUAUUAUUACAUUUUGUAAGAUUUUUAUUUUCAGCCGUUGAUUUUGAGCCCCUUCGUUCACUAGGCAAAUGAUAUCGUAAAAUCAUAAAAUUUAUUUUCUAGAUACUUCAAAUACUCUAGAUCAAGUUUAACGGAGCCGAUCGACGAUUCAAAAGUCGCAACAUCGAAAAUGAGCUGGAAGCACGGAAGGCUCCGUGCUUCCGAUAGCAUAGUAGCCUCACUCUAUAUAUAUAUAUAUAAAAUUUAUUCGGGUUGGAUUCGGAUAAUAUUUCGGAUAUCCAUAUCUAUUGACAUCCCUACUCCUUAUUCUACUUUUCAAUAUACAAAAAAUAUAUACUAAACACGGUGAACCAUUCACCGUGUUUAGAUACGAUGAAUGAUCCACCGUGUUCAACUUAAUACCCUGGCCCCAGCCCUGCCCGCGUGGCGCUGACGUGGCGCCUGCGUGGCAGAGACAGAGCCAUUUUUGUAAUUUUAAUUUUGAUAG
rnacentral:lncRNA from 1 species